GGUUCCUCCCUUCUGACGAACCUUGAUGCCAUUAAUUUGGUGUCUUGGGAAAUCAGGACUGUUACUUUGAAAAAAUUAGAGUGUUUAAAGCAAGCUCACGCUUGAAUACAUUAGCAUGGAAUAACGGAAUAGGACGUUUGAUUCUAUUUUGUUGGUUUCUAGGAUCGACGUAAUGAUUAAUAGGGAUAGUUGGGA
rnacentral:rRNA from 1 species